rnacentral:rRNA from 1 species
AGUUUGAUCAUGGUUCAGGACGAACGCUGGCGGCGUGCCUAACACAUGCAAGUCGAGCGGGGAGAAGAAUUCGUUUUUCUCUUUAGCGGCGGACGGGUGAGUAACACGUGGGUAACCUGCCUCAAAGUGGGGGAUAGCCUUCCGAAAGGAAGAUUUAUACCGCAUAACAUCAAAGCACUGCAUGGUGCUUUGAUCAAAGGAGCAAUCCGCUUUGAGAUGGACCCGCGGCGCAUUAGCUAGUUGGUGAGGUAACGGCCCACCAAGGCGACGAUGCGUAGCCGACCUGAGAGGGUGAUCGGCCACAUUGGAACUGAGACACGGUCCAGACUCCUACGGGAGGCAGCAGUGGGGAAUAUUGCACAAUGGGCGAAAGCCUGAUGCAGCAACGCCGCGUGAGUGAUGAAGGCCUUCGGGUCGUAAAGCUCUUUGAUCAGGGACGAUAAUGACGGUACCUGAAAAACAAGCCACGGCUAAC